AAGAGACGUUGCCCUUCGGGGUAUACCUCCCACCCUUUGUUUAUUAUACCUUUGCUGCUUUGGCGGGCCCGUCCUCGGACCACCGGCUUCUGCUGGUCAGUGCCCGCCAGAGGACCUAAACUCUGUUUGUUAAUAUUGUCUGAGUACUAUAUAAUAGUUA
rnacentral:misc_RNA from 1 species